UGACAGCGGCGCAACGAUGUCCCGACCUA
rnacentral:sRNA from 1 species